AGUGGGGAAUCUUGGACAAUGGGCGCAAGCCUGAUCCAGCCAUGCCGCGUGGAUGAUGAAGGCCCUAGGGUUGUAAAAUCCUUUCGUUGGGGACGAUAAUGACGGUACCCAAAGAAGAAGCUCCGGCUAACUUCGUGCCAGCAGCCGCGGUAAUACGAAGGGGGCUAGCGUUGUUCGGAUUUACUGGGCGUAAAGCGCGUGUAGGCGGGCUGGAAAGUUGGGGGUGAAAUCCCGAGGCUCAACCUCGGAACUGCCUCCAAAACUUCCAGCCUGGACUCAAGCAGAGGCAAGUGGAAUUGCGAGUGUAGAGGUGAAAUUCGUAGAUAUUCGCAGGAACACCAGUGGCGAAGGCGACUUGCUGGGCUUGUAGUGACGCUGAGACGCGAAAGCGUGGGGAGCAAA
rnacentral:rRNA from 1 species